rnacentral:rRNA from 1 species
CAGUAGCCGCGGUAAUCCGAAGGGUGCAAGCGUUAAUCGGAAUUACUGGGCGUAAAGCGUGCGUAGGCGGUGGGUUAAGUCUGCUGUGAAAUCCCCGGGCUCAACCUGGGAAUGGCAGUGGAUACUGGCUCGCUAGAGUGUGUCAGAGGAUGGUGGAAUUCCCGGUGUAGCGGUGAAAUGCGUAGAGAUCGGGAGGAACAUCAGUGGCGAAGGCGGCCAUCUGGGACAACACUGACGCUGAGGCACGAAAGCGUGGGGAGCAAACAGGAUUAGAUACCCGCGUAGUCCCUGUCUCUUAUAC